UUCAUUUGCGUUGGUUUUCGUUUGCUUUUAUCAGGCUACAGCACUCCUCCUAUCUGGUUCUGUCUUACAUGAUGCAACUCCUCUGUAUCCAGUGUGCUCUCUUUCUUCUCACUGGAACCAAAUGGCAGGCCUUCACUUUACUGGCUUUGUAGCCUACGCUCCUCCUCCUCUUCCUCCUCCUGUUCAAAUACCAUAACCAAUCUCCGCACCUCACUCUUCCACCAUCUCCCAACUCAAUCAAUCACCUCUCUAUUUUUUUUUAAAAAAACCCGUUCCGUUUUUCCUGCUCCAACUCUCCACUUCCGAUCUCUCUCCUUCAAUCCCCGCCUUCUCUCCAUUCUCCUCCGUCAGUUUAUUCCUUUUUAUAUUUUAAGAGUAAUUGUGUUAUUCUAGAGGAGUAGUGGAAUGGGCGGAAAAAGGAGGCACUGCGUUUGUUUUAGAAAUGCAAUGUUGGAGGCAGGACCUGGUGCAACAAUAGGGGGAAUGUGUGCUUCUCGUUGCUCUGGUUCUAUAGCUGUGAGCAUGCAGGUAUGGAACCAUGCGAGAUGAUGUCAUUAGUCUCAAGGUGGUUCUUCCCAAUGGAGAUGUGGUCAAGACAGCUUCUCGUGCUCGAAAGAGUGCUGCAGGGUUACAAUGUACAAUUUCCUUAAAAUUAAGGAUGCAGCUGACGUUGCUAUUGACACUAUGCUGUCUGGUAUACAGGUAGAACUUGAUGCAAAUUAUGUCCAUGCAUUCAAUGCUUUAUGGAUUAUCCAUUCUUUAUAAUCAGGUGUCAAGAGUGGAGCUAUUGGAUGAGGUCCAAGUGAGGGCUGUCAAUAUUGCUAAUGAGAAGAAUUUAACUGAACUCCCAACUUUGAUUUUUGAAUUCAUAUGCACUGGCAAGUAUGUCUUUUCAUGUGACUUGCUUAUGUUUAUUCUUGGAUAAAAUCCAGUAUGUUAAUGGAAGGGAUUUAACCAUUGAACCCAUUCUCUGGAAUAUGGUAAUUACUAAUAGUUAUUUGAAAUUUCCUUGGUAUCCUUAGGAAUUAUGCAUAUCAGAUAUGUGAAUGAUUCAGUUCUGCUAGGAAUGCAAAAAUGAACUCUAUGUUACUUGAUCCAUUUUGAGUUUAAUACUGCUUUCUCUUUCAAUUUCAAUGGAUCAAUGGUGUUCCUCUAGAAAACUACAAACACACAACAGACAGCUGCUGAUAGAUUGAGAUUUGACUGGAUAAAACACAGUUAGCGAAGGAUUAUCUAUUACAAUCAAUUGUUUGUGCAGUUCUGUUUCUUUUUUAUCUGAUGGAUUAUGGCUUAUAUUUCAACAACCAUUGUCUAACUAAUGACUGGCAUAGGCAGCAUCAUGAUAUCAUGAGGUCAUGAUUUACAAAGCUAAAACUGAAGUAAAAAAAAACCGAACAGGCAGAAAAUAUCGAUUCCAACAUGGUUCAUCUAUCUGUUGCUGUCUGGUGAAUUUAAACUUCUGGCCACGUUUGGUGUUUGAGCUUCAAAUAUUUGGCAAUAGGGAAGGAGGCUCUAUGGGUUUGCUUAGCAAUGAAACCCAAUAAGAGGCAAUGAUUUCGGACGUAUGAGUUCUCUAUCACAGCUUGCUGAAUUGAUCUCAAGGUCCAGGCAAGAGGUGGAUGUGUCGCCAUUGGUUUGCAUUGUUGAAGGUAGCUUUCACAAUAUGAUUCUUUUUGACCUGAACCAAGAAGAUCAGCGGCAUGAGGCAGAAAGAUUGAACCAUUUUAUGAUCCAUACUGCUUUGUCAAUGGAAGAAAUGAAUCGGGACUAGUACAAAAUCACUAGGAAGCAUCUCAUGUGCACGCAUUAUCUGACAUCACCCACAGUUUCAAAUAUCGUACGCUAAGAUAUGGAUUCGAAGAUGAAUGAUUGUGGAAAAUGAUGCAAGUGAAGAUAAGGACAUUGAGGCUUGUGCUAAAGGAUAAAAUGAAAGUCGCCUCCCAGCACUUCAAAGUUCCAAUUGAUUGAUAAAUCUCCAUAGAAUAUGGAGACAUGGCAACAAUGGCCGUAAAAGGACAAUAUAAGAAUGAUUCCUGGAUUUGGAUCCUUCCUCUUCUCACCACCAUUUGGCAGCAAUUGAGUUGAGAUAGGAUUAUAACCUACGGCUACUCAAACCCUAUCCGUAAUUUGCUCUGUUCUGCAUGAUUUAUGCAUAAAGAGGCUGAAAUCAACACUGCACACUGGUCCAAAAUAUCCCUCGUUUUCUGGUCAGCUUCUUCAACCAGUAGCCUAAUACACCGUCCAAGCCAAGGGGCACGCGCAGUCAAAGUCCAUCCAUAAUAUACAGUUAGGAGGUAUGCUUCAGAACUGAAACUCACAUGGCGGCGGACCCCAAGGAUUCCUGACUAACAUUCUUUUAUAGUUCUCCUGGGAGUAUACCUAUAGUACUCUACUCAAAAUCGGUAGAUUCGGGAACCGUUUGUCUGCUAAUUAGAAGUAUUCUCAUGCACUUGGAGACCAUUAAUUUGGUGAAGAAUUGUUUCUUGCUUUAACAAAUAUGUAAAUGUAAUUGUCAUUUUGGGAAAAGAAACAUGGCAAUAGCAAGGACGACAUACACUUGUCCAUUACAAAUUUGGGGAAGCAGGCAUUGGCAGAGGUUGUUUUUA